GAGGUUGUGGCUCAGAGGUAGGGUGCUAACCUACCAAGUGUGAGGCACUGGGUUUGAUCCUCAGCACCACA
rnacentral:tRNA from 1 species